rnacentral:rRNA from 1 species
GAUGAACGCUGGCGGCGUGCCUAAUACAUGCAAGUCGAGCGAACAGAUGAGGAGCUUGCUCCUCUGACGUUAGCGGCGGACGGGUGAGUAACACGUGGAUAACCUACCUAUAAGACUGGGAUAACUUCGGGAAACCGGAGCUAAUACCGGAUAAUAUAUUGAACCGCAUGGUUCAAUAGUGAAAGACGGUUUUGCUGUCACUUAUAGAUGGAUCCGCGCCGCAUUAGCUAGUUGGUAAGGUAACGGCUUACCAAGGCAACGAUGCGUAGCCGACCUGAGAGGGUAAUCGGCCACACUGGACCUGAGACACGGUCCAGACUCCUACGGGAGGCCGCAGUAGGGAAUCUUCCGCAAUGGGCGAAAGCCUGACGGAGCAACGCCGCGUGAGUGAUGAAGGUCUUCGGAUCGUAAAACUCUGUUAUUAGGGAAGAACAAAUGUGUAAGUAACUAUGCACGUCUUGACGGUACCUAAUCAGAAAGCCACGGCUAACUACGUG